rnacentral:rRNA from 1 species
GAACGUGCCCAGUCGUGGGGGAUAACUACUCGAAAGAGUAGCUAAUACCGCAUACGAUCUGAGGAUGAAAGCGGGGGACCUUCGGGCCUCGCGCGAUUGGAGCGGCCGAUGGCAGAUUAGGUAGUUGGUGGGAUAAAAGCUUACCAAGCCGACGAUCUGUAGCUGGUCUGAGAGGACGACCAGCCACACUGGGACUGAGACACGGCCCAGACUCCUACGGGAGGCAGCAGUGGGGAAUUUUGGACAAUGGGCGAAAGCCUGAUCCAGCAAUGCCGCGUGCAGGAUGAAGGCCUUCGGGUUGUAAACUGCUUUUGUACGGAACGAAA